GCACCGGUAACUCAGUGGUAAAGCUCCAGUAUUAGAAGAUCUUGGCAGAAAAAUAAUGAUAUUUUAUACUAAAAACUACAAGAUAAUAUAAAAAAUCCUCAUAAUCUUCAAAAGACCACAAAAAUCCGAAAUCCGCAUUUUUAAUUAUAAUCUUCAUUGCCCUAUCAAAAAACCACAAAAUGAGGAAAAAUCCGCAGAUAUCGAAACUCUGAAUAACUGUCAGGAGGUUGCAGGUUCAAAUGCUGCCCGGUGGC